AUUUGCCCCAGACAACAGGGCCACUUCACAGCCUUCUCACAUUAAAUUCCACACAUUGCAUGUCAGUGCUGUCACAGCUGUGUCUAUCACCACGGCAACAAGCAGAGGGACUCAAGGCAAGAAUGUGGACUGAGCACGGACUGGCCUAAGCUUGAGAUGGGGAUGUGCCGAGUGUGAGCCAUGGCUCAGUUCCACUCACUAUGCGACUUGAUGGACUCUCGCUGUGUCACCCAGGCUGGAGCACCAUGGCAAUAUCUCGGCUCACUGCAACCUUCACCUCCCAGGUUUAAGUGAUUCUCCUGUCUCAGCCUCCCAAGUAGCUGGGAUUACAGGGUAAAGUACCAUUACUUGUACUCGAGCUGGACACAGAUUCUGAACUGAAUGUAACAGCAGAUCAGAAGAAGCUCCCCCUUUGAGAAAAGAGAUAAUCCAGCCUACAGCAUACCAGCCUCCUCUCUGUGUGUGCAUAUGUACUUAUCUGAUGGAAACUGGACCACACUUUGACGGGCAGACAGAUGGCUGGUAGCCAUUUCAAGAAAUCAGCACAGUUCUAAUUCCCACAUGUCCUGCUCUGAUUCAGCCAUACAGCCUUUCUGGUAGGAGAACAAUGUGGCAUGGCUCUGUAAUAUGUCUCUUUGGGCAGACACAUGGUCAGAGUUGUGCCAUCGCCAGCUAAAACAGACAUAAAGAUUCCAACCAAGCACAUUCUGUGGCCCCCCCUUAAAACAGGGCCCAGCAUCCUGUGUUUAGCGAUUAGUGCAGGUAGGGAGGUCAUGGCUGAUCCAACCACAAUAGCAAAGUUCCCAAAGUACAGCCUACUUCAGAGAAUACCGAUGCAUCAUCAUGCCUUUGGGGUAUCUGAAUCCAGUGUUAAAACAGGUUAGAUAUAAUGACUGCAUCUGGUUAUGUUUAUUUUAGCACCAGCAAUAUUAAGACUAUCCAGUAUAUACCGGCAAGGGGAGAAAGGAAUGCCAAAAAUAGCUCUUCUAGCUUUUGCUAUGAACUGAAAACAUUACAGGCGUUCAUUCAAAGCCUCAGAUAUGGUUGGCACAGCU